UACGGAGGGUGCAAGCGUUAAUCGGAAUUACUGGGCGUAAAGCGCAUGCAGGCGGUUUGUUAAGCGAGAUGUGAAAGCCCCGGGCUCAACCUGGGAACUGCAUUUCGAACUGGCAAACUAGAGUUCUUGAGAGGGUGGUAGAAUUUCAGGUGUAGCGGUGAAAUGCGUAGAGAUCUGAAGGAAUACCAGUGGCGAAGGCGGCCACCUGGCAAGUAACUGACGCUCAGAUGCGAAAGCGUGGGUAGCAAAC
rnacentral:rRNA from 1 species